rnacentral:snRNA from 1 species
GUGCUUGCUUCAGCAGCGCAUAUACUAAAAUUGGAAUGAUACAAAGAAGAUUAGCAUGUCCCCUGCACAAGGAUGACACGCAAAUUUGUGAAGUGUUCCAUAUUUCA